CAGUAGCCGCGGGAAUACAGAGGGUGCGAGCGUUAAUCGGAUUUACUGGGCGUAAAGCGUGCGUAGGCGGCUUCUUAAGUCGGAUGUGAAAUCCCUGAGCUUAACUUAGGAAUUGCAUUCGAUACUGGGAAGCUAGAGUAUGGGAGAGGAUGGUAGAAUUCCAGGUGUAGCGGUGAAAUGCGUAGAGAUCUGGAGGAAUACCGAUGGCGAAGGCAGCCAUCUGGCCUAAUACUUACGCUGAGGUACGAAAGCAUGGGGAGCAAACAGGAUUAGAUACCCCCGUAGUCCCUGUCUCUUAUAA
rnacentral:rRNA from 1 species